rnacentral:rRNA from 1 species
UACAGAGGGGGCAAGCGUUAUUCGGAAUUAUUGGGCGUAAAGGGCGCGUAGGCGGCUUUGCAAGUGACGGGUGAAAGCCCUCGGCUUAACCGAGGAACUGCCUGUCAGACUGUAAGGCUUGAGACCGGGAGAGGUGAGUGGAAUUCCCAGUGUAGCGGUGAAAUGCGUAGAUAUUGGGAAGAACACCGGUGGCGAAGGCGGCGAGCUGGUCCAUUACUGACGCUGAGGCGCGACAGCGUGGGGAGCAAACAGG